GUGCCAGCAGCCGCGGUAAUACAGAGGUCUCAAGCGUUGUUCGGAAUCACUGGGCGUAAAGGGUGCGUAGGUGGCGUGGCAAGUCAGAUGUGAAAGCCCGGGGCUCAACCUCGGAACUGCAUCCGAUACUGCCAUGCUAGAGUACUGGAGGGGUGACUAGAAUUCUCGGUGUAGCAGUGAAAUGCGUAGAUAUCGAGAGGAAUACCAAAGGCGUAGGCAGGUCACUGGACAGUUACUGACACUGAGGCACGAAGGCCAGGGGAGCGANCGGGAUUAGAUACCCCGGUAGUCC
rnacentral:rRNA from 1 species